rnacentral:rRNA from 2 species
AAACCAACAGGGAUUGCCCUAGUAACGGCGAGUGAAGCGGCAACAGCUCAAAUUUGAAAUCUGGCUUCGGCCCGAGUUGUAAUUUGUAGAGGAUGCUUUGGGCGCGGCGCCAACUGAGUUCCCUGGAACGGGACGCCACAGAGGGUGAGAGCCCCGUAUAGUUGGAUGCCUAGCCUAUGUAAAGCUCCUUCGACGAGUCGAGUAGUUUGGGAAUGCUGCUCAAAAUGGGAGGUAAAUUUCUUCUAAAGCUAAAUACCGGCCAGAGACCGAUAGCGCACAAGUAGAGUGAUCGAAAGAUGAAAAGCACUUUGAAAAGAGGGUUAAAUAGCACGUGAAAUUGUUGAAAGGGAAGCGCUUGUGACCAGACUUGCGCCGGGCAGAUCAUCCGGUGUUCUCACCGGUGCACUCUGCCCGGCUCAGGCCAGCAUCGGUUCUCGUGGGGGGAUAAAGGUCUCGGGAACGUAGCUCUUCCGGGAGUGUUAUAGCCCGGGGCGUAAUGCCCUCGCGGGGACCGAGGUUCGCGCAUCUGCAAGGAUGCUGGCGUAAUGGUCAUCAGCGACCCGUCUUGAAACACGGACCAAGGAGUCAAGGUUUUGCGCGAGUGUUUGGGUGUAAAACCCGCACGCGUAAUGAAAGUGAACGUAGGUGAGAGCUUCGGCGCAUCAUCGACCGAUCCUGAUGUAUUCGGAUGGAUUUGAGUAAGAGCGUUAAGCCUUGGACCCGAAAGAUGGUGAACUAUGCUUGGAUAGGGUGAAGCCAGAGGAAACUCUGGUGGAGGCUCGCAGCGGUUCUGACGUGCAAAUCGAUCGUCAAAUCUGAGCAUGGGGCGAAAGAC